rnacentral:tRNA from 1 species
GCCGGUGUGGUGGAAAGGCAGACACAAGGGACUUAAAAAUCCCUUGGCCAGCAAUGGCCGUGUGGGUUCAAAUCCCACCACCGGCACCA